rnacentral:lncRNA from 1 species
CACCGCCCCUGCUGCGGGCGGGGGCCUCUCCUCGCUCCCGAUUGGCUGAUAGGGGGAGCCUAUCGCCGUGGGCCGCCUCCGCCAGAGCGGUUUGCUGGUUUCCAUUCAUUGGCCCCGGAGCCGCCCCUGGAUUUCCAUCUUUUGUGGCGCGAAAAUAACCCUUUGCUCCCUCGUUGGUUUUGUCGAGGUUGAGAGGUGGGAUUGUGUUCCCCUCUGCUCGCUCUCGUUUUUCCUGCCCUUUAACUGCUCGCCCCCAGCCCCAACCCCCAAGGAGGAAAGAGGGAGGUAACGCUGAGGAAGGGUGGAAAGCAGUUCUGCGUCCGUGGGUGGAGCCCGCCCCUUGGCUGACCGCAUGGUGCCCGCACGGUCCCCUCCCUUCCCCCAACGUCCAGCGCCCGGAGGUUCUGGAUUUGCGCCAUGCUCAGCAGCUGGAGUCACAUCUUCGUUUCCCUGCCCAUUUCCAACAUCUUAGAGUUUAUACGUCCUUUUUUUACUUAAAACAACUACAACCAAAUGUGUUCUCAGGGUUGUUUUAAGCAAAAUCAAACAACCCCUCCAAAAAAAGCAAACGAAAAAUUCCGGGUAAAAUCAACUAUGCUGAGACCACGUUUUCGUUGAAGCUGCCCUAAGACCAAUGAAGCUGAGACCGACCUUCAAGGAUUAACGAUUUCUGUAGCUGAAAUGUUCCAAUUUUACUGACGUUUGGUGGAGACGGUGAGAAAAAAUAAAUAUGAAUUUGACUUGGAAAAGCACAAAACAAACGAAAUAAUCAUAUUUAAUUUGAUUAACUGAAAAGGCAAACAGCCACAAUGGUGUAUACUAGGUACUGGUGUCUUUGGUGAGUUUGUAAUUAUAUAUAUAAAUUGCUGUUGGUUUCAUCAGAAAUACAGAUCAGAACUCUGGCUAUGACAAAAAAAGAAGGAAGUAUAAAUUUGUUUGGUAUAUCUAAUUUCAUAACAGACUUUACUAACCUUUAAUUAUCUGGAGAAAAGGAAAUGUACCAGUUAAGAAUAUAAAUUAAUUUGUUUGCAGAUAAUUGUUCAUUUUUUGUCUUGACAAAAUACUCGAUUUGGUUAAAAACGGUAAAAUGAUAAUUCUUCAGUAAAUAUUUAAAACUUUGAGAGGAUUGGUUUAAAUCAGAGAGUUCAAAGAUUUUCUGUGUUGUUUACUCUUAGUGAUGUUACAUCCUGUGAUGUUACAUCUUCCUCUAAGUGCUUUUGAAAAAAUUAUUAGUUCUGUUAGUCUCUAAAAACUAAAGUAACAUAAAUUGCCAUGUACCAAAAUUUUAAAACAAAUUUUAACAACUGAAUUGGUUAGUAAAGAAAAACUGCUUUAAAAUAGAAGUAAUCAUUAAACAUAUUUUAUUUACAUUUAUAUAGUUCAACUACAUUUCACUAAUGUGGUUGAUAGUAUUUUUGAACUUGUCAUGUAAAAUUAUUCAUCAGAAACAUUAGAAUAACUUAGAAAUGGUUUGAGUUGAAUAAAUUAAUUAAAACUUAAGGACUGAAUUUGUAGUAUGCUAAAGAUUAUAGAGUUAAUAAUUUAGAUAAUCCUUUAUCACCUAAGAAAUUUAAAUUAUGAAAAUAAGAUUGUGAAAUGAUUCUAGGUUGGAAUUUAUAUAUUCAGUUAUUUUUUAUUUUGGAAAUGAUACAGUAGAAAACUAUUGAGGAAUUUAUUAGAGAAAAUUGUAAUUGUAAAAAUAAAAAAAGUCAAAAUUAAUCAUUUAGACAAGCCAAAACUCUAAAACCUGAGAUUUUUUUAAUGUUUUAUCAAAAUCAAAGAUUUAUACAAUCAAUAUUUUAAAAAAACAAACAAAAAACUGUUCUGUUUGACAGAAACUGGUGUUUUAAAUUUUCAACUACUGAGUCAGGAAUUGGAAUUUUUAUCUGGUAAACAUUAUCCAUAGUUGUUAAAGUAGUAGAUAAGCUUGAGUACUUUUAUUGGAAUUAUAUCCUGUAUUAAUACUACUUCACUUAGGUGAAAACUUUAAAAUACUCAUUCUUCUGGAGGAGGGGUGGGAAGGAUGAGACCUUCACUGAAGACUCUUUGGUGAUUAGUGUGUACAUAUGUGUUUGCAGACCAGCCAUAGAAAACAGGGUAGGCGUUUGUUUAUAGGGGGAGGGGUCUGGGGAAACUGGAAAGAUUUGGGUAUUUAAUCUUGUUUAUUGGUUGCAACUCAUUUAUCCUGCAGGUUUCCUUGCUCAGUGUGGAAGGAAGAGGGUAGAGAGAGAAUGUAUUAACUAAUGGUGUAAAAUGGGAAAGUAAUCCAUGCAUGAAAUCCCACUGGAAAGAACAAUAAAAACCUACUCUCCCCACUAAAAUAAUCUGAAAACGAAGCACAUGCUGAGGUUAUAGCUAGUUUUCAGCACUCUCUAACACCUACAUUUAAAAGACACAUGCUAGGUUGCUGUGUUCAUAUUUGGACCCUUUGUUUUCUUGACCAUUUCUAUUCCAGAAACUCAUUCCAAACAUCUCAGAAAUUAAAGGUUCUUUAAUAAAACAGCAGAUCUCAUGACAUAUAUUUAGGUACAAAUUAACUCUUUCUAGUCUAUCUUUAAGGUAAAUUGAUUAAUGCCUCAUGCUAUCUAUAAAUGUAAAGUUAAUUUUUAGAUGUACUGAGGCAGAAUACAUUUUACAAUUCCUUACUUGCAAGAUGAUGAUAGAUCAUUACCAUUUCCAUUUGGAUUCAUUAAAAUUCAUUCCUUCUUGAUUUUAGUUUACAUUUUGGUCCUAAGCUAUUCUCUAGCAUGAUGAUCCUAGCUUUAAAGAGGGAAACAGCAAGUGAGGGGUUUCUGUUUUUUGUUUCUAUUUCAAAAUAUCUCAGCUGAAGUUCAUAAAGAAUCUGACAGUAUAAGAUAUAGUAGAGAAAAACAAAACUUAAUCAUCUUUCUAAAAAUCUAUACUGUAAAAAAAUUUGUCCUGAAAUUCAUGCCUAACAUGCUUCUAUUGAAAGAUUGACUUUUUUUUAUAGAGGAUUGUUUAAAUAUAAACACAUGUAUAUUCUUAAUCUGUGUAUAUUCUUAAUCCCCAAUGUGAUUGUUGGCACUAUCACAUUGGGGAUUAAAAAUAUACAGAGAGAGAGAGAAAAUUUUUCUUGCUUUUUCUCAACUGACUUAAAUUUAGUGAUCAAUUAUUUCUAAGUUGACAGUACUAGUGCCUUCUUAAAGGCAAAAUUUUGUUUGAACUGAGGUUUAAUUUAAUAUCAAUAAUUGGACCUGACUGAUAAUUUCCAAUUCUUGAUUGAUUUUGUUUUGGCAGUGGGUGGGGGGGGUCUUGUGUCAUUCAUUGAAGCAGUUUUUCUGUUUUUUAAAUUAUUUUUUCUUUGUAGGGUAAACUAUUUAUAUAUUAUUUGUAACUUAAAAUCUUUUUCCUAGCAUUUUCCAAGGCUUGAAGAAUAAUUUAAAAGUAAAUCUUACUUUUAAGAUUUGAAUAAAGACUUUUAAAAUUGUGUACAAGAUAAAUAAAUAUGAAAUAUUUUGUGUUUUAAUCAUCCAUUAAGCUGAAAUAACUGCAUGGUUCCUUUUUUAUAAGUAGCCUAAAUCUAAUCCAGCUAUUAGAAAUCUAAUUCACAAAAAAGAUACCAACGGAGUAACAAUUCAUAAAAGCCAAAAAAAAUCAGUUUUUGUUAUAACAGAAAUAGAUACUGUUUCUGUCAUCUGGUGAACAUUUUGUUAUUAGACAAUUAAGUACAGAAUGAUGUUACCAUGUUUUGUUUUCGUUUGUUCAAAAUUGCCUAGAAUUUUGUUCCUUGACUCUGUUACCAUAUAUCUGAUGGUAAUUUCUUUGCUUUUGUAUUUCUUCACUACCAAGAUUCAAAUGAUAUCUUUGCUUUUCAUUUAAAUAUAAAUAUCUAUAAAAAGCCAAAUAGAAAAUAAACUAAAACAUCAAAAGUUGUAGUGUAGUACACUGUAAGUGCUUAUUUCUGCAACCAUAGUGAUAUAUUCUAAUUUUAUUUUAAUCCCAAGUCAAUAUAGUGACUUUUUGAAAGAGAUUAAAUUGAAUUUUGUUUUAAAAAUUAAUAAAACAAAAAAAAGUCAAGUAGAUGUUUUAAUUCAGUGAAAUAGACAAUAGGGCGAAGGGUAACAUUACUCUGUUCCCUCAACAACAACAGAUCUUCCAGUUGAGGGCAGUUUUGUCGGGUAUGGAAUGCACUCAGUGUGUGCACUUGGACAUGUGAAUAUAUGCACAUAUUUCUGCUGAGAAGCCCUUUAGAGAGAUUAGUGAAGGAGCAAAGCAAGAUAGAACUUGUGUUCAAAUUCUGAGGUUGCAGGUUAAAACAAGCAAGGCAAGCACUACUUUUAAAGUGUUUUCUUAACCAUCAGAAUACUUGAGUAUGAUGUCUUUAAAGCUGGGGAGAUAAGACUAACAGUAUAGAUUGAACUGAAAUUAUGAUGCUACUAGUAUAUCACCAUUAGAACUUACAUCAUACAAAUAUGUUUUCCAUUUUUUAAUCUUUCUAUAACUCGUUUUCUAUUUAAAAUAUAUGUAGUUAGUAUUAUACAUAUAAAAUAUCAAUCAAUAUUAUUAAAACAUAAACAUAACCAGUUUAAAAAUUGGUAGAAGUAAUACGAGUCACAUAUUUUGAAGUUAAAUUUAUCUCCAAAGCAUGAAGUUAUCACAAAUCCUUUCUGUUGGAUUGUUCUACCACUUCUAUUUGUGUACAUUAUCC